CCAAUUGGCUGUGCGGUGGCGUUUGUUUUUGUAAAAUAAAUAUUUUUCUUUCCUGUAACUAUUUGUAAAUGGGCAAUAAUAUUAAACACAUCUCUCAAGAAGGAAUACUGCAUACAACAUUCGAAUAUGGCUGUGACGCAGACAAUUUUGGGAGCCGAUGUUCAAUGUGUGAGGUUGGAUGUGGAUAGGAAGAAUAUCAGGAAAGCGUCCUGUAAAAUAUUGGCUGUAUGGUCCAUUGAAUGAUCUCCAAUAAAGAACGUAAAGCAUUACACGAUCCUGAUAAAUAAUGAAUAUUGAUUGUUUCAUUUACAUUAGUUUGAGAUCGUUUUAAAUAAAUUUUGUGAAAAACUCAACAAUGCAGAGCGAAAUGAAUGAAAAA